UACGGAGGGAGCUAGCGUUGUUCGGAAUUACUGGGCGUAAAGCGCACGUAGGCGGCUUUGUAAGUUAGAGGUGAAAGCCCGGGGCUCAACCCCGGAAUUGCCUUUAAGACUGCAUCGCUUGAAUCCAGGAGAGGUGAGUGGAAUUCCUGGUGUAGCGGUGAAAUGCGCAGAUAUCAGGAAGAACACCAAUGGCGAAAGCAGCUUUCUGGGACGGUACUGACGCUGAGACGCGAAAGCGUGGGGAGCGAACAGG
rnacentral:rRNA from 1 species